ACGGGUGAGUAACGCGUGGGAAUCUACCCAUCUCUACGGAAUAACGCAUGGAAACGUGUGCUAAUACCGUAUACGUCCUUCGGGAGAAAGAUUUAUCGGAGAUGGAUGAGCCCGCGUUGGAUUAGCUAGUUGGUGGGGUAAAGGCCUACCAAGGCGACGAUCCAUAGCUGGUCUGAGAGGAUGAUCAGCCACACUGGGACUGAGACACGGCCCAGACUCCUACGGGAGGCAGCAGUGGGGAAUAUUGGACAAUGGGCGCAAGCCUGAUCCAGCCAUGCCGCGUGAGUGAUGAAGGCCCUAGGGUUGUAAAGCUCUUUCACCGGCGAAGAUAAUGACGGUAACCGGAGAAGAAGCCCCGGCUAACUUCGUGCCAGCAGCCGCGGUAAUACGAAGGGGGCUAGCGUUGUUCGGAUUUACUGGGCGUAAAGCGCACGUAGGCGGACUAUUAAGUCAGGGGUGAAAUCCCGGGGCUCAACCCCGGAACUGCCUUUGAUACUGGUAGUCUUGAGUUCGAGAGAGGUGAGUGGAAUUCCGAGUGUAGAGGUGAAAUUCGUAGA
rnacentral:rRNA from 1 species